UAAGAAGUAAGAGGUUGUAGGCUCUGUGUCUAUUUUAUCAAAAUAGUCCUUAGAUCUCGGGCAUG
rnacentral:tRNA from 1 species